UGGCCGGUGAUGAGAAACUUCGCAUAAAAGAACACCAUCUUUCGGGGCUGAUUGGCUCGUCACGAGCCAUGCUGCCACUCUGCAAUUCUGAGGCCA